rnacentral:lncRNA from 1 species
UUAGAACCAGUCAAGCUUUUGAACACAUUGGUGUACAAGGCUUCAAUUUUGUGGACGGUGUUCAUGAGUUUGUGUGCGAGAGAUAUAUGAGUGGACACUGCAAAAGCUGCUAGAGAAAUGAGUCAUAUGUUAAGGACAUAGAAGGUAGAAGAAGUUUAUACGGGAUCUUGAAUAUCAACCAUGUCACUUAUCUGAGCAUGUGCCACGUACAAUGUUAAGUGACUAGCAAUGCUCUUACUAGCGUUGGAUUUUUCUCUUUCGAUGACCUUGGGUAGACAGUCCUAUGUGUUAUGAAGCAUUGCCCAAAAGGACAAAUCCUGCGUGUUAUACUUGUAGCACUACAAAAGUACAAACGCCAUCCGCAUGCGUUGAUUCGGGGGUGAUCGACUCAUUAGUAUGGUCCUUGGAUGGCAUCACACCAACAAUUUUACAAGCUCGGUCAAUUUACCAUUUACAGUACCAUUUAAUAAAGAGAGACAAUGGAGGCCAGACCAGACCAACGACACUUAAAAAUAUAUAUAGUGUGGCCAGGUUCCCCUGAUUUCAUCAAUGAUAGUAGCAAAUAGGGUAGAGCAUGUACGAUCAACUAGUAUUUUUUUAACAGAGCUCGACAUGGGCUAUCCGUUUGAAAGAACAGAAAACUUUUGUUUUUCAGAGUACUACUAUUUUUCGAGAUUGGCACCGGCGACAAUCAAGCAGAGUUUGAUCCAAU